AAGAAGAUCUGGCAGGGGAGAUAUCAUGAGCAUGAAGGUGGUUUUCCCAGGGUCAGACUUAUUCAUUUCACUCCAAAUGGAUGUGCUGACCUCUGCAAUUUUUCCAAAUGUGGAAAACUCGACUGCAUAAUUUGUGGUAGUGGUGGACUGUGUUCACACUCUCCCCAG